UACGGAGGGUGCAAGCGUUAUUCGGAAUUACUGGGCGUAAAGCGUGCGCAGGCGGUUUGUUAAGUCUGUUGUGAAAUCCCCGAGCUCAACUUGGGAAUUGCAAUGGAUACUGGCAGGCUGGAGUAUGGUAGAGGAAGGUGGAAUUCCCGGUGUAGCAGUGAAAUGCGUAGAGAUCGGGAGGAACACCAGUGGCGAAGGCGGCUGCCUGGCCUGUAACUGACGCUGAGACGCGAAAGCGUGGGGAGCGAACCGG
rnacentral:rRNA from 1 species